UAUCAUUUAAUUUAAUAGUUCAUGCAAAAUUUAUAUUUUAAAAAUAUAUAAUCAAUUUAAUAAUUAUAGAAGUUACAUAAUUUAUCUUACUUAAUUGACUUAUCCUAAGUAGUGGUAGUAUUAGCUAGUAAUUUAGUAUUUAGAAUCUUGAAACCUGGGUUCAAUUCCCAUAUUAAUAU